AUUCGGUGACUGUGUCCUAGUCCGAGCCGGCUAGGAUAGGAAAGACGUGUUUAUUUCCAACAGUGCCAGCCAUGGCUUAUGGCUAUCAGGGAGGCUCCGCAGCAGCUAUUGCGGCAGAUUAGCGGGCGAUCUAAAAUUGUGCCAUUAAUAGUUCGGAAUCGAUAACUUCCGAACGUGCCAUGUUUUUCCUCCUGGUUCCGAACGUGCUUUGCGCCGUAGGAUCAUUAGCACGAAUAUUAGAGAAGGGAGAUCAGCCAUGUCACCCUUUUUUUGUUCGGAAAAUAAACGCCUCGUCGCGAACGCCUCUCGGGUCUUAUGUCUUAUCCUCUUCCCCCACCGCCCAUUCUACAUCCCACCCAUCUCUCUCCUAGGGGCACACUCAGGAGAGCGACCAUACGGCGGUGAUGUCGGAGAAGAGGCAGGUGGCGGCGGAGACCAGGAAAGUAGUUCACUGUCUCGCAGCUCCACUGGGACCAACGUCGUGGUGUCGAGCGGCGAAGACGAGCGGGCUGUGCCGUCUCCGAGGGCGGGCAGAGAACUCGACGACGAGGGCGUCGAGCUUGAGCCAGGCGAGCGGAGGCGGCGCUACGUGCGGCGGGCGGUGAACUCGGCGACGAGAGCAUCGAGCUUGAGUCAGGCGAGCGGAGGCGGCGCUGCGCGCGGCGGGCGGCGAACUCGGCGACGAGGGCAUGUACGCCUCCGGCUUGUGCACCAGCAGCUGCUUUGAAAGGAGGCGCGGGUCAACGAAGCGCUGGCGAGGGUGGCCAAUUCACAGGAUCGCACGGAGAAGGUUGGGGGUGUGAAGGUUUAAGAUGAUGAGCUCGACGUUGCUAUCGUUGGUGGAGGCAUGGUGGGCUUGGCUGUUUGCUUGUGUAGUGUGUAAGUAUUGAUCCCUUCGUGUACUUCUCUUCCUUCGAUUAAAUUGUUCAUGAGGUCAGCUUAGUGUUACGCUUAGGCUGAGAAUCGAUCCCAGCAUUAGUUAUAAAAAGGAAACUUGGCACUAUUGUAAUAAAGUUCUCAGAGAUUCUUCCAGCCAUUUUUACUAGUUCA